GAUGAACGCUGGCGGCGUGCCUAAUACAUGCAAGUCGAGCGAACAGACGAGGAGCUUGCUCCUCUGACGUUAGCGGCGGACGGGUGAGUAACACGUGGAUAACCUACCUAUAAGACUGGGAUAACUUCGGGAAACCGGAGCUAAUACCGGAUAAUAUAUUGAACCGCAUGGUUCAAUAGUGAAAGACGGUUUUGCUGUCACUUAUAGAUGGAUCCGCGCCGCAUUAGCUAGUUGGUAAGGUAACGGCUUACCAAGGCAACGAUGCGUAGCCGACCUGAGAGGGUGAUCGCCGACACGGGAACUGAGACACGGUCCAGACUCCUACGGGAGGCAGCAGUAGGGAAUCUUCCGCAAUGGGCGAAAGCUUGACGGAGCAACGCCGCGUGAGUGAUGAAGGUCUUCGGAUCGUAAAACUCUGUUAUUAGGGAAGAACAAAUGUGUAAGUAACUAUGCACGUCUUGACGGUACCUAAUCAGAAAGCCACGGCUAACUACGUG
rnacentral:rRNA from 1 species